rnacentral:rRNA from 1 species
UACAGAGGAGCCAAGCGUUGUCCGGAUUGACUGGGCGUAAAGCGCACGCAGGCGGUUGCGCGCGUGGGGGGUGAAAUCUGGCCGCUUAACGGCCAGGCGCCAUCCCAUACGGCGCGACUGGAGGGCUGCAGAGGUCGAUGGAAUUGCCGGUGUAGUGGUGAAAUGCGUAGAUAUAGGAAGGAAUACCAGUGGCGAAGGCGGCUCACUGGCCCGAUACUGACGCUGAGGCACGAAAGCGUGGGGAGCAAACAGG